UAAAAUAAACAAUUUACUUAGCAAAUGGUGAUAAUGUUUGUUAAUGAAAGAGAGUACGGGACUAAUUAACAUUUAAACCUUAAACUAGCAGCGCACGUCACUUUCUGAGUGAAGUGCGCGACGUGCGCGUGCCCGUCAUUUUGUAACGGUCAACUUCCAGCAGACGGACACGGAGGAAAGGUAAGUCCUAUAAAUCUACUUUUAUUCAUAGAUUUUAACUGAUAUAACGUUAAAUGCCAUCAAAGAGGAGUAGUGUUUUGUAUUUUUGUAGGUUUUCUCUUUCAAUUUAAUAAAUAAAUGCUCUGUUUGGUUAAUUAGCUCAAAAGCAGUCUCAGAGGUGGUCUAAGGUAACGGUAACUGUAAAAAUCGAAUAUAACCUUACCUGUUUUAAAUUAUUUGAAAUUUAUCACUAUAAACUAUACAGUAUUAACUUUCUAAUUAUUCAAUUUUUAACCGUAGUAACGUUAAUUAGUUUGUUUGAAUACCUGCUGCUCGAGCUUGAUGAUGCUCAUGCUAUCCAUGCUGUGAACUUGAAUGUAAUCCGAUAUAACGUUAAAUAUAAAGUUUAACGUUAAUUAGACCGAGGCUGCCGAAAUCAUGUUCAGUGUAACGUUAUGUGGGAUUAAUAAUUUCCCUUUUUCUCCCUCAAGUGGCAGGCUUGUAAAUUCUGUCAUCUGUUCAUUAUUGGUGUUGAUGGUGUUUUUCACAUGCAUGCUUUUUAAUGCUAGUUUAAUUCUCAAAUUGAUCUGAUACUUUCGUUUCACAAAAAGUAAACAAAUUGUUCACUUUCUUAGGGCCUGACAACCACCAGUUGAGUCCAUGAUUCAGGGAAGAGACAGUCUGGGCAGCAGCAACAAGACAACUAUUACAAGUAGAGAUGGGUUUCAAAAACUGGUACUAAUUUGGUUCCUGACUUGUUCGACACAACCACAUAUCCUCCAAAUCAUCUCUGCGUGGAUGGCAGAAAGGAUCCAGGAUCAAGAGAUCAUUCUUCAUGGAGACUGUUCCACAGGAAGCAGUUUCUCCUGGGUGAAAAACUAAACCUGGUUGUUUCAGCAUCACUCAGGCAAGACUAAAUACUUUUGAAUUGAUUUCAGUUGGUUAUGUGUUUCAGGUCAUCCUGACCAUUCUGCUGUCCUGGAUGUAAGUCCGUGCAGGAACUACAUUUCUCGUUGUUGAAAGAUUUGUGCAGCGGUAUCCAGACAUAUAACGCCCCAUCACACGGGGCGUCAACGCCUCUCGUUUACUUUUAAAUGAAGUGACGUCAAGCAUGGUGAAAUUAAUUCUAGAAAUUAAUUCUAAAUAGAAGUUGAAGACUUCUCAAGCGCCAAUGCAGCCGUCCUCCAG